GAUGUAAAAAGGGAUAAAGUGGCUUUCUUCUCCAUUCUUCCACUAGUCGCCAUGACCUAUUGAAGAAAGGAACUUUUCUCUCUCUCACCUGAGGCAAGGUUUCUGGAGACCACAGUUCUUAUUCUCCACAUUGGCGUUGUACAUUACUACAGUUUGAAAAGUAAACAAAUGUGAUCAGUCAUUUGAAAAUCUUACUACAUCAAGAAUCCAAGAGAGAAUGCCAGCCCCGGGUCCCAGGCACCAUGAGAACUUUUGGACAUGCUGGUAAUCUCCAGAUGGGAUUAAAACAAAAAAUUCAAAAGACAAAGAAAACAAUCCCUCUACAAAUUACUUGCUGCCAGUAUUGAAAUCUGUCCUGCCCUCAAAAGGCCUACAAUGGGAACACUGUAAUAAGUGUUUGUGUAUAGUAAAUGAGUUAAGAAUUUUAAUUUUUAAAAUGUUUUAAAAUGCAUGGUCUAUUUUACAGGGCACUGGUCAAUGCUAGCACCUACAUUCAUCAGAGGGUGACCUGGGUGGGGCGUGGGGGUGGAAGUUUAGGUCAUUUUGUUGAAAACCUACAAUGUAUCAAAGGCUUUACAUAUAUUUCCACUGAAUCUUCACAAUAAUCCUACAGCUGGGCAGUAGAAACUCCAUUUUGCAAAUAAGAAACCUGGGACUAACAGAGUAACAGCUGAAUUGGUUCUGAAAGCCACCAAAACCAUCUGCCUUUUAAAUCCAUUCUCUUUCUCUCUAUAACUUGCUCACUGCAGUCCACUAGGAGUUUGUGAAACAGAUGUGCUUUCAGGUCUGUUACAUCUGGGUGUGAAUACCAAGCUCUGCCCUUACCAGCUCUGUAACUUUAGACAACUGUAUGCCUCUCUGAGCCUCUAUUGCCUCCUGUAUUAAACAGGGGCAUCACUGACCUUACAA
rnacentral:lncRNA from 1 species